rnacentral:rRNA from 1 species
GACGAACGCUGGCGGCGUGCUUAACACAUGCAAGUCGAACGGACAGGCCCGCUUUCCCUUGUGGCUUGCGGGUACUCGAGUGGCGAACGGGUGAGUAACACGUGAGUGAUCUGCCGCCAACUUGUGUAUAAGCCUGGGAAACUGCGUCUAAUUCCCGUUAGGUCUGCAGGGUGGUGCCUGUGGUGGAAAACGAUUUUCUAGUGGUUGGGGAUGAGCUCGCGGCUUAUCAGCUUGUUGGUGGGGGAAUGGCCUACCAAGGCGGCGACGGGUAGCCAGCCUGAGAGGGAGGACGGGCGCAUUGGGACCGAGAUACGGCCCAGGCCCCUACGGACAGCAGCAGGGGGGGGUAUUGAAAGGAGAGCGGAAGGCUAGUGCAGCGGCGCCGCGUGGGGGAUGGCGGCCUUCGGGUUGUCACCUCCUUUCGCACGAGAGGAAGCCAGCUGGUUGGAGGGGUGGUGACGGUAGUGGUAAAAGAAGCACCGGCUAACUACGUG